rnacentral:rRNA from 1 species
UGGGGAAUAUUGGACAAUGGGGGGAACCCUGAUCCAGCCAUGCCGCGUGUGUGAAGAAGGCCUUUUGGUUGUAAAGCACUUUAAGCGGGGAGGAGGCUCUUGAGGAUAAUACCCUUGAAGAGUGGACGUUACCCGCAGAAUAAGCACCGGCUAACUCUGUGCCAGCAGCCGCGGUAAUACAGAGGGUGCGAGCGUUAAUCGGAUUUACUGGGCGUAAAGCGUGCGUAGGCGGCUGAAUAAGUCGGAUGUGAAAUCCCCGAGCUUAACUUGGGAAUUGCAUACGAUACUGUUUGGCUAGAGUAUGGGAGAGGAUGGUAGAAUUCCAGGUGUAGCGGUGAAAUGCGUAGAGAUCUGGAGGAAUACCGAUGGCGAAGGCAGCCAUCUGGCCUAAUACUGACGC